AUUGAACGCUGGCGGCAGGCCUAACACAUGCAAGUCGAGCGGCAGCGGGAAAGUAGCUUGCUACUUUUGCCGGCGAGCGGCGGACGGGUGAGUAAUGCCUGGGAAAUUGCCCAGUCGAGGGGGAUAACAGUUGGAAACGACUGCUAAUACCGCAUACGCCCUACGGGGGAAAGCAGGGGACCUUCGGGCCUUGCGCGAUUGGAUAUGCCCAGGUGGGAUUAGCUAGUUGGGGAGGUAAUGGCUCACCAAGGCGACGAUCCCUAGCUGGUCUGAGAGGAUGAUCAGCCAAACUGGAACUGAGAAACGGUCCAGACUACUACGGGAGGCAGCAGUGGGGAAUAUUGCACAAUGGGGGAAACCCUGAUGCAGCCAUGCCGCGUGUGUGAAGAAGGCCUUCGGGUUGUAAAGCACUUUCAGCGAGGAGGAAAGGUUGAUGCCUAAUACGUAUCAACUGUGACGUUACUCGCAGAAGAAGCACCGGCUAACUCCGUGCCAGCAGCCGCCGUAA
rnacentral:rRNA from 1 species